UACAGAGGUCUCAAGCGUUGUUCGGAUUCAUUGGGCGUAAAGGGUGCGUAGGCGGCGCGGUAAGUCGGGUGUGAAAUCUCGGAGCUUAACUCCGAAACUGCAUUCGAUACUGCCGUGCUUGAGGACUGGAGAGGAGACUGGAAUUUACGGUGUAGCGGUGAAAUGCGUAGAUAUCGUAAGGAAGACCAGUGGCGAAGGCGGGUCUCUGGACAGUUCCUGACGCUGAGGCACGAAAGCUAGGGUAGCAAACGGG
rnacentral:rRNA from 1 species